rnacentral:lncRNA from 1 species
UAUAUAGCAUUAGCUUUUCAAUUGAUAAGGCUGUACCUUUAGGUACAGAGGGAUUUAAGCAGAAUCAAACAAUGACAGUGGGACUGCAGCACAGAUAAGCAUAAAAAGAAAAGCCAUCACAUGGGAUCUUGAGACUCUGGAGCAGCACUGACUUUGACUCACCAAGACUCUUCUGUACUUCAGACAAGGUGAGCAUGAUCAGCCAUCUCAUAUACUCAAGGAGCCCUUUCCACAAAGAAGGCAACUGAAAAUGGGAUAUCAUCUCAACAGUAUCAGCUCUUUAUGGAUUCCUGUACUAACUACUGUCAAGAGAACCAUUUGCAUUUAAUUCCCUGUAGAGCAGGGUGAAGAUUACAUUAAGACUUUAAGAAGAAGA